UAGUUUAUUUCCUGUUUCAUCACUCAGCCAGAGUGGGUGCGGCAUGGGAUGCUGCCCCCGCGCUCUUACUGUUGCCGGCCCCACAGCGAAGCACUGCAGGAGAGGAGACUGAGAAGACAGCCCUUGCUGCUGGGAGCUGACUGAGCUCUCAGGCUGUCAGGGGGCGGAGCCAAGCUCAGGCAGACGUUGGUUAAAGACAGAAGACCCACACUCCGGAGGAGCAGAGGUGACAUGAAGUGUCGCCACCUUUCUCCUGGAUCUGAUGCUCCGCCCCCCUGCAGUGUCUCUAGGGAGAGACAUGAUGACAUAGGGGUUUGAGGAGGAGGCAUUCCAGCUCACAGUGCAGCAGCAGCAGCCCAGUGACCUCCGGUGACCUUUUCCCCACCUGCCGUCAGUCACAGAGCUUGGGGUGGGAGCAGUACUGUUCAGGAUUGGUAAUUUAUUAAAGUCCUUUUUGGUGAUACUUAUUGAAGCCGAGGUGGACUGUAGGGUUCCAUUAUCCCUGAUGAGAUUAGGGAAUAUAACAUCACCUAACUUCAACCUAAAUUGUCAUUUUCUGUUAUGAUGUAAUCUAUUUAGAUACCAUAUUAAUUGAAAACAUACUUGUAAUUGGAUGUAACAUUGAGAACCCUAACCAGUCAUAACCAGUGGUAAUCCAAUCUAUUAUAAGAACUGCGCUCACCGCCGCUGUUGUAGCGGGUUGCCGUGCUAACGCUGCCGGGAUCGUAGUGCUGCGUGCUGGAGUCACUGGAAUCUGGAAUCUGGAAACCGGAAGUGCGGGCGGCCCCAGCGGCGCUGAGAGAUGCAGAUGGACACACUGUCUUUCUUGAAGGUAUAGGCAACGGCUGCCGGGAUCCGGUGCAAACGCGGCACCCGUCGCACGUUGUGUGACGUCAUCCACUGCAGCCACGGCCCCGGGACCAUGAGCCUAACACUGUGGGUGUAUUUUCUAUAUAAGAAAUGAUAAAAUGGAGAAAAGAACCGAAAUCUUACAUGGACAUUUUUAUUUUAAAUCUCUACCAGACGUCAGAGUUGAUAAAACCAAAGUUAUUUGUAAA